CAAUCUCCAUCUUCCACCGUUGGAUCGAGAAAUGGACGUCCGAGAUUCGUCCACGUCACUAUGAGUUAAAAAAUUAACUCUCAUUAAAUUUUAACUCAGGGGUGAAUCUGCGAGUUAAUUUUUAACUCAUGGUGACGUGGACGAAUCUCGGACGUCCAUUUCUCGAUCCAACGGUGGAAGAUGGAGAUUG
rnacentral:pre_miRNA from 1 species